rnacentral:rRNA from 1 species
GCGCGAUACAGGGUGACAGCCCCGUACACAAAAAUGCACAUGCUGUGAGCUCGAUGAGUAGGGCGGGACACGUGGUAUCCUGUCUGAAUAUGGGGGGACCAUCCUCCAAGGCUAAAUACUCCUGACUGACCGAUAGUGAACCAGUACCGUGAGGGAAAGGCGAAAAGAACCCCGGCGAGGGGAGUGAAAAAGAACCUGAAACCGUGUACGUACAAGCAGUGGGAGCACGCUUAGGCGUGUGACUGCGUACCUUUUGUAUAAUGGGUCAGCGACUUAUAUUCUGUAGCAAGGUUAACCGAAUAGGGGAGCCGAAGGGAAACCGAGUCUUAACUGGGCGUUAAGUUGCAGGGUAUAGACCCGAAACCCGGUGAUCUAGCCAUGGGCAGGUUGAAGGUUGGGUAACACUAACUGGAGGACCGAACCGACUAAUGUUGAAAAAUUAGCGGAUGACUUGUGGCUGGGGGUGAAAGGCCAAUCAAACCGGGAGAUAGCUGGUUCUCCCCGAAAGCUAUUUAGGUAGCGCCUCGUGAAUUCAUCUCCGGGGGUAGAGCACUGUUUCGGCAAGGGGGUCAUCCCGACUUACCAACCCGAUGCAAACUGCGAAUACCGGAGAAUGUUAUCACGGGAGACACACGGCGGGUGCUAACGUCCGUCGUGAAGAGGGAAACAACCCAGACCGCCAGCUAAGGUCCCAAAGUCAUGGUUAAGUGGGAAACGAUGUGGGAAGGCCCAGACAGCCAGGAUGUUGGCUUAGAAGCAGCCAUCAUUUAAAGAAAGCGUAAUAGCUCACUGGUCGAGUCGGCCUGCGCGGAAGAUGUAACGGGGCUAAACCAUGCAC